UGCUGUCAGGAGGCUGACCUGGACCAUGCCAUGCGUGGUGAAGCAUGUUUAACAAAUGUUCGCACAUUUGUGUGUCGCGGAACAGCGGCUGGGAAUCACUGGACUCGGCCUCUCUGGCUUUUCGUCUGAGAUUUACAGCUUGACCAUUUAUUUACUGAUAAACACUACUUCACCUAAGAGACUUGAGUAUCCAGUUCUUCAUUGACCUUCAGCAUUCAGUUGUUUGUCUUCACCUUUUCAGGUAAGCAAUUUAAAAAAAAUGCUUCUGUAAUGUUGAGAAACACUGAAAUUAUUAUUUAUAAAGAACUUUCAACCACU